CGGACAGUGUCUGGUGGGUAGUUUGACUGGGGCGGUCUCCUCCUAAAGAGUAACGGAGGAGCACGAAGGUUGGCUAAUCCUGGUCGGACAUCAGGAGGUUAGUGCAAUGGCAUAAGCCAGCUUGACUGCGAGCGUGACGGCGCGAGCAGGUGCGAAAGCAGGUCAUAGUGAUCCGGUGGUUCUGAAUGGAAGGGCCAUCGCUCAACGGAUAAAAGGUACUCCGGGGAUAACAGGCUGAUACCGCCCAAGAGUUCAUAUCGACGGCGGUGUUUGGCACCUCGAUGUCGGCUCAUCACAUCCUGGGGCUGAAGUAGGUCCCAAGGGUAUGGCUGUUCGCCAUUUAAAGUGGUACGCGAGCUGGGUUUAGAACGUCGUGAGACAGUUCGGUCCCUAUCUGCCGUGGGCGCUGGAGAACUGAGGGGGGCUGCUCCUAGUACGAGAGGACCGGAGUGGACGCAUCACUGGUGUUCGGGUUGUCAUGCCAAUGGCACU
rnacentral:rRNA from 1 species